rnacentral:rRNA from 1 species
AUACGUAGGGGGCGAGCGUUGUCCGGAAUUACUGGGCGUAAAGGGUGCGUAGGCGGCCCUUUAAGUCGGAUGUGAAAGCCCGCGGCUUAACCGCGGAAUGGCAUUCGAAACUGGAGGGCUUGAGUGUCGGAGAGGGUAGUGGAAUUCCCAGUGUAGCGGUGAAAUGCGUAGAUAUUGGGAGGAACACCAGUGGCGAAGGCGACUACCUGGACGAUAACUGACGCUGAGGCACGAAAGCUAGGGGAGCAAACAGGAUUAGAUACCCUGGUAGUCCUAGCCGUAAACGAUGGGUACUAGGUGUGGGUGGUUUCGAUACCAUCCGUGCCGUAGUUAACGCAUUAAGUAUUCCGCCUGGGGAGUACGGUCGCAAGAUUAAA